rnacentral:rRNA from 1 species
AUACGUAGGUGACAAGCGUUAUCCGGAUUUACUGGGCGUAAAGGGCGUGUAGGCGGUCUUGCAAGUCAGAAGUGAAAUUCCUGAGCUCAACUCGGGCGCUGCUUCUGAAACUGCAGGACUUGGGUGCUGGAGGGGAUAGCGGAAUUCCUAGUGGAGCGGUAAAAUGCGCAGAUAUUAGGAAGAACACCAAUGGCGAAGGCAGGCAUCUGGCCAUGUACUGACGCUGAGACGCGAAGGUGCGGGGAGCAAACAGGUUUAGAUACCCUGGUAGUCCGCACAGUAAACGAUGUGCACCAGGUGGCGGGGGGUCGACCCCCGGUACCGUAGCUAACGCAUUAAGUGCACCGCCUGGGGAGUAUGCUCGCAAGGGUGAAACUCAAAGGAAUUGACGGGG